rnacentral:lncRNA from 1 species
GUUCAAGACCAGCCUGACCAACAUGGUGAAACCCCGUCUUCUACUAAAAAUACAAAAAUUAGCCAGGCAUGGUGGCGGGCGCCUAUAAUCCCAGCUAUUCAUGAGGCUGAGGCAGGAGAAUCGCUUGAACCGGGGAGGCGGAGGUUGUAGUGAGCUGAGAUCGCACCACUGCACUCUAGCCUGGGCGAAAGAGCGAGACUCCAUCUCAAAAAAAAAAAUUGUUUUUAACUGCCUCAUCUCAGAAAUUUUUCUCUUUUGAGGGGAGAUCAAAUAUCCAGAAUUCUCUAGACUGGAGCAGGGGUUUUUCAAACAACAGCAGCAGACUCACCUGUAAUCUUGUCAGAAGUAUGAAUUAUCAGUCUCCACCCUAGACUUACUGAAUCAGACACUGUGGGAGUUAGGCCUAGCAGUCUGUAUUUACUAGGUGAUCCGGAGGCAUGCUAGUUUGAAAACUGCUGGGCUAGAGAAGGUCUGCUGAGGAUGUGAUACAUUCCUCACUAAUUUAAGGAUUUGACUCAGAAGCCAUUUAAUUAAAAGGAUCUGCUGGGUCAAGGGAAAGGGGAAAAACUCAUAUGAAUUUAAUUGCCUGGUCCUUUCAAGAGUCAGAAGGUACAAAUAUUUAUUUAGUUUGCUCACAGAGUCGAGAAUUUUGAGACUAGUGGUAACUUCUUUCGCCAGUCCCUAAUGACAUCACGUUAGAGGGUGUGGGACAGUGUGAUUAACUCUAAGUGUUUAAGGUCUUUUGCAAUAGGCAUCGCCACUUAAGCUGUAUGUUUUUAAUGAACCUGGAAUUCCAGCAUGCUCACUGCCCAGACGUUAUUGUAUUUUUGUUCACUAAUUCACUGAGCAUAUAAUGAGCACCUACUUAUUGUGAGACACAAGAUGAGUAAGACAUGGUCCCUGUGUUUAAGGAAUGUAUCAUUCAGUCUUAAGAAAUACCCCAGAACAUGACGCUUUCAUAUGCUCACAGAUGUGUGCUUUUCUAAACAUAUCCAAGCUGCUACCCACAGAUCUGAUGUAAACCUGGCCUUGUAGUCAGAGCUCAGCUACCUUUUAGCAUUAUUUGGAGCUUAAUUCUUUUACCUUCCCUGUCCCCAUUUUUUUCCCUUUUGAUAUACUGUUUAGUUUACUGCUGAGAUAUUGCUAUCUCAUAUGAAAAUGUCUUUCAAGACCUCGUAAGUUUAAGAAUGAGAGCCAGCUUCCUAUUAUGGUUCAUUUUUGGAGAAAUUCCGAAUAAAGACUGAUAGAUGGAUUCCCUUAAGGGAAAUAAUUAUUUAAACUAUUAAUUUUCUAAUGAAAAGAACUUAGUAAAAAUGAAAAUAAGAGGAACCACUUGGAAAAAUGAUAUUUUAAAAUCAUAAUUUAUGGAUUUAGGACUUUUAUUUUGUGAAUAAUAAGUCUAAACACUAAAUGCCUGUUUUGAGAAGGCAGACUCUAAGUCUUCAUGAUCUUUGUGCCCUUUUCAUGCUGGGGUUGUUUUCCCUCUCCUAUUUUUUUUUUUUUUGAGACAGAGUCUCGCUUUGUCAUCCAGGCUGGAGUGCAGUGGUGCGAUCUUGGCUCACUGCAACUGCCGCCUCCCGGGUUCAAGCGAUUCUCCUGCCUCAGCCUCCCGAGCAGCUGUGACUAUAGGUGUGUACCACCAUGCCCAGCUAAUUUUUGUAGUUUUAGUAGAGACGGGCGUUUCACCAUAUUGGCCAGGCUGGUCUCGAACUCUGACCUCGUGAUCUAGCUGCCUCAGCCUCCCAAAGUGCUGGAAUUACAGGUGUGAGCCACCGCACCCAGCCUCCCCCUCCUAUUUUAUUCAAAACUUUUUUUUUUUUUCCAGUCUCUGGAAGUACUUAGAGCACAAGACCGUGGCUAUGAGAGGUUCUUAUGCUGCUUUUGUCAUCAAUUCCCCUUCCAUUCCCAGCAGUCUCACUGCAUUGCAAGUCUCCUGGCAAGAACCUCUCUGCCUUGCCUGUUCUUGCACUAGCUCACAGCCUCAGCCAGGUUCCUUUCCAUAGACCUUGCCCUGCUGCUGCGUAGCAGCAGGCUCAGGUGUCACUGCCACAACUUUGCAUCUGCACAUGCGCGUGCACUUCAAAUAAUGCGAAAGAUAGGACACUUGGGACCCUCAAAUGUUGGAAACUUAGGAUUUUUAAUGAGAUUUUCUUCUGUGUCUGAAAUUAUAAUAUUUGCAAAGGGCCUAAAACACUACCAGUUUUAAACCCCUUAUUUUGUGUAAUUUGGUGACUAUAAUCAAUAAUUCACAGUAAUGAGUUAGCAGAAAUGGCUAAAUCAGAAAAUGAUUCUAUAUUUAGGCAUAGGAGUUAUGAUUGGCAGGGUGUGUGUAAGGUGAAAAAUAAACAUAUUGAAUAGUCUUAUGAUUAAAGAUGAUUACAAAUUUGACUUAGUCAUUUCUUAUCUAGGGCAUUUAAAAUGACUUGUUAAUGAUUAUCCUUUUCUAAGUCUUCUUGCUUAUGAAGAACUGUAAGAGCUGGAGAGAUUUCUCUGCAUCUUUUACCAUAAGCACCAUAACAUAUGAGAACAUAAAGAAGACUGGAAAAGUAAUGGUUAAUGGCAUGCAGAUUCCCUGCUUUCCUUUCCUUCUCAGUUUUCCAUCCAUCUGCUUUCUUUAUUUUUUUCCCAUCUGCCAUUUCCUUUGGGGCCUAGGUGAAUACCUUAAGUAAUGAAAUAUAAUUUUUUUCUCGAUGUAGAUGGCAGUAAUUGUUUGUUCUUGGUAAUUGACAUAGCUUGAACUGGAUGUGCUAUUUAUACUUAAUUGCUGUAGAAACAGAACUGAAGUUCUUCUACUUCCUUUUUGUAAGGCGUGGUUUUCAGUAUCUGAAUGGAGAAACCAGAGGGCAUAGCAGUAAUGUAGAGGCAUAUUCACAAUGUUGUUAUUAGAGAACCCAGAUACCCUUAAGACAAGCUUGUCCAGCCCAUGGCCUUCAGGCCUCAGGACAGCUUUGAAUGUGGCCCAACACAAAUUCGUAAACUUUCUCAAAACAUUAUGAGAUUUUUUUGGAAUUUUUUUUUUUAGCUCAUUAGUUAUCAUUAUAGUGUAUUUUAUGUGUGGCCCAAGACAGUUCUUCUUCCAAUGUGGCCCAGGGAAGCCAAAAGAUCAGACACCCCUGCUCUAAGAUUUAGAUACUUUCAACCACAUGGUUUUAGAUACUGCUUUAAAGGCCUUCAGUUAGUGAGUGGUUCUAGUCAUCCUAGUUUCUC